rnacentral:rRNA from 1 species
AUGGCGCCAGCCGGAGGACGCACUACCCAUCUCCUCCUGCUCGCCCUCCUCCUGUCCUUCGUCCUCUCCUCCUCCGCGGACGGGAGCUACCCGGAGCGCCCCGGCCAGGGCGCCGGGGGAUUCUUCAGCGGCAUACCGUGGUUCCGCGGCGGCCAGCCAGGUGGCGCCCGAGGUGCUGGAGGCAUGGGCGCUGGGUUCGGUGGCGGGUGGGGCGCCGGCGGCGUUGGGCCAGGGGGCGGUUUCGCCCGGCGCGGGGUGGUGCAGCCGUCGGUGGUCUGCGCCGAGCAGGGUCCCUGCUACCAGCAGCGGCUCACAUGCCCGUCCAAGUGCUUCAGCUCGUACAGCUACCAUGGGAAAAAUGGCGGAGGAGGUGGUGGCGGCGGUGGGUGCAGCUUCGACUGCACCAGCUGCAAGGCCCACUGCUGA